rnacentral:lncRNA from 1 species
AGACCUCUCUCCUGAAGAAGCCUCCUACAGUCUCCAGGAGAAUCUGCCUCCUGAGGAGAGCGCGCUCUCCCUGGAUGAUCUGGCCAAGAAGAUAGAGAUCGCAGAGGCCAUUCCUGCAGAAGGGCUGGUGUCCAUACUGAAGAAGAGGAAUGAUGCAGUAGGCGGCCAUCCUGCCCAAAUGCAGCAGAAGCCGUCCAAGCGCAGAGUGCGGUUCCAGGAAAUAGACGAUAACCUGGACCAAGGUGCGCCCGGCGGCCCUGGGUCUGGGAGUGCUGGACAACCCGACAGGGUGUUUGCCAGCAGGAUGUGUAAGGGCUGUGUGGACUCGGUUGCUCUAUCUUCUAGCAGAGGAAAAGUUUUCUCUGUUAUAUCUUUUUUUUUUCCCCGAAAUAAAUGAGUGAGUCAUCAGCCCAG